GUGCAUCUUAACUGAGGGUCUCUCGUGAGGUUGCAGUCAAGAUGUCAGCUGGUCUUGGUAGAUGCACGUCUCAGGCUUAGGGCCGCACAGAGAGCACCUCAUGGCAUUGGUCUUUACCAGCUGACCUGGCUGAGACUGGGGGUGAUGUCCUGGUGGGACCUGCAGUUGGAGAAAGUCUGUGAUAUGACAGCCACUCACACGAGGUUCCCAGGGAAGAGAACCAGAGCUUGAAUCCAGGCUGGAGACUUGUGCUGCACCAAGCCACACCAGGAGGAAGCUGCUGGACUUAACCAAUAGGUACUACAAGGAAGACUAAAUGAUGGUUUCAGAACAAAACGUAACUAUUAUGAUUCUUCAAAAUGGAAACCUCAAAGUCAGAUGAACAGGAUUAAGAGAAAGGAAGAAGACAACUGGAAGAAAAAGUAGGGGUGCUGAUAUGAAGCCAAUAAUAUUGUUUAUAGUAGAUGAAAGGAGAGAAUAAGGUAUCUUUUUUUCAAAGCUUUUUUUACGUUAAUUCCAAUAUGUUAACAUAAGGUGUUAUAUUAAAUGUAUCAUUUUCACUUAAAGUUAUAAAACUGGGUGUCUUAGUCUGUUCGGCUGCUGUAACAAAAUGCCACAGACUGGGCGGAUUAUAAAAAGCAGAAAGUUAUUUCUCCUAAUUCUGGAGGCGGCAAGUAUGAGAUCAAGGUGCCAGCAAGGUCAAGUGAGGGCCCUUUCAGGGUUCAGACUUCUAUCCCCACAUGCUAGUAGAAGCAGGGAGCUCUGUGAGAUCUUUUAAAAGAACACUAAUCCCAUUUAUGAAGGCUCCAGCCUCAUGACUAAUGGCCUCCCAAAGGCCUCGCCUUCUAUACCAACACCUUUAGGGGUUAGGAUUUGAACAUAUAACUUUUGGGGGGACAGUAACAUCCAGACCAUAGUGAUGGAUCAACAGAGAAUUGAAUAUAAAAAUAUUGGAAGUUAAUGAUGGUAGGAGGUAGAAUCAAUGAACUAUAGUGUUUAUUAUAAAAGGAAAUAAAUAAAGUGUAAAAUUCAUAAAUCAAGGAAUAGAUGCAGAAACACUUUAUAGAUGUGGAGAUGGGAAAUAACUAAAACUUCUCUGGGGGUAGAACUAAGGAUGCAAUAGUUGUAUUGAUAGGAAUUCAAACUACAUUAUUUUAUAUUUUGAAAUAAUUUUAAGCUUAAA